rnacentral:rRNA from 1 species
CCUACGGGCGGCAGCAGUGGGGCAUAUUGGGCAAUGGAGGCAACUCUGACCCAGCAACGCCGCGUGAAUGAUGAAGGUCUUCGGAUUGUAAAGUUCUGUGAUGGGGGAUGAACACAAUGACGGUACCCCAAUAGCAAGCCACGGCUAACUACGUGCCAGCAGCCGCGGUAAUACGUAGGUGGCAAGCGUUAGCCGGAAUGACUGGGCGUAAAGGGUGCGUAGGUGGUUUAGUAAGUUGGCGGUGUAAUUCCGGGGCUCAACCUCGGCGCUACCGCCAAAACUAUUAGACUAGAGUGCAGGGGGGGUAAGUGUAAUUCCUAGUGUAGCGGUGGAAUGCGUAGAUAUUAGGAGGAACAUCAGGGGCGAAGGCGACUUACUGGACUGUAACUGACACUGAGGCACGAAAGCGUGGGGAGCAAACAGGAUUAGAUACCCGGGUAGUC